rnacentral:rRNA from 1 species
GACGAACGCUGGCGGCGUGCUUAACACAUGCAAGUCGAACGGAAAGGCCCUGCUUUUGUGGGGUGCUCGAGUGGCGAACGGGUGAGUAACACGUGAGUAACCUGCCCUUGACUUUGGGAUAACUUCAGGAAACUGGGGCUAAUAUCGGACAGGAGCUCCCGCUCCAUGGUGGGGGUUGGAAAGUUUCGGCGGGUGGGGAUGGAUGCGCGGCUUAUCAGCUUGUUGGUUGGGUAGUGGCUUACCAAGGCGUUGACGGGUAGCCGGCAUGGGAGGGUGACCGGCCACAUUGCGCCUACGAUACGGCCCAGACUCCUACGGGGGGCAGCGGUGGCAAGUAUUGCACAAUGGGCGGAAGCCUGAUGCAGCAGCGCCGCGUGCGGGAUGACGGCCUUCGGGUUGUAAACCGCUUUCGCCUGUGACGAAGCGUGAGUGACGGUAAUGGGUAAAGAAGCACCGGCUAACUACGUG